GUGCCAGCAGCCGCGGUAAUACGGAGGAUCCUAGCGUUAUCCGGAUUUACUGGGUUUAAAGGGUGCGUAGGCGGGCGUUUAAGUCCGCGGUGAAAGUCUGCGGCUCAACCGUAGGAUUGCCGUGGAUACUGGACGUCUUGGAUUCGGUCGGGGCGGGCGGAAUGCGUGGUGUAGCGGUGAAAUGCAUAGAUAUCACGCAGAACGCCGAUACGAAGGCAGCUCGCCGGGCCGAAAUCGACGCUGAGGCACGAAAGCGUGGGGAUCAAACAGGAUUAGAUACCCUGGUAGUCCACGCCGUAAACGAUGAUGGCUGGGUGUUGGCGAUACAAUGUCAGCGCCUGAGGGAAACCAUUAAGCCAUCCACCUGGGGAGUACGGCCGCAAGGCUGAAACUCAAAGGAAUUGACGGGGGCCCGCACAAGCGGAGGAACAUGUGGUUUAAUUCGAUGAUACGCGAGGAACCUUACCUGGGCUAGAACGUCCCUGGAAUACCGCGGAAACGGGGUAGCCGGCAACGGCCGGGGACGAGGUGCUGCAUGGUUGUCGUCAGCUCGUGCCGUGAGGUGUCGGGUUAAGUCCCAUAACGAGCGUAA
rnacentral:rRNA from 1 species